AGCAGGAUGUGCGCGGGCGCCCGCUGCCUUGUGAACCUCCUGCGCUGGGCCUGGGGGCGUCAUCAGGGGCCUCUGGGGGGGCCACGGCGGACACUCGAAACCGCCGGCCGAGAGGGCUCUGCAGCCCAGCAAGGAGGAGUGAGGGGCGCGGGCAUGGCGCCCCCAGCAUUAACGCCCCGCCCGGGGGCAAUUAACGCUCCCCCCGCGGGCAUUAACCCCCCCCCCCGGGGCAGUAACACUAUUCUAAAGCACACGACGCCCCCCCAGGGGCAAAUAAACGCGUUCUACGGCAAGCA